GGUAGAAGGUGGGAAUAACAUGGAAGUGCCAACUAAAGAAAUGGAGGAUGUUGUGGUUGAGUUAACUAGUGAUGUGGGAGCUAAGAAGACAACGGCUAACCGUAAAAGAAAACUCAAGUCGCCAGUGUGGGCAUUCUUUGAAAUGCUUCCUAUUGGUGAUGAUAAGAAGAGGAGAUGUAAGUGUAAGAAAUGUGGAGUUGUUUAUCUUGCUGAAAGUAAAUAUGGAACUGGCAAUUUGAAGCGACAUAUGGACACAUGUGUGAGAAGAGACACACGCGAUAUAGUUACUUUGGAUCCUAGAUACAAGUUCCACUUCGUGGAAUGGUGCUAUGAGAGAGUUUAUAGCGAAAAAGGGAUUUCUGAAGCUAUGCAUGUGAAAGAAAAGUUGUUCUUACUUUUUAAUUCAUAUGUUAAUGCUUCUGCAUGUCCAACAUCAUUGGAAAGAAAUUGCCAGCAAAGCCAAGGGUCUCAAAAUGUGUUACAUGCACCUGAAGGCUCCUUCUCUCUAGAAAGUUUGGAUGAUUUAAUGUUGCAUGAGAAAGUGCUUUUAGUGUCGGUGGAAAGGUGCUUGAUCAAUAUCGAAGUGCUCUUAGAUCUGAUUUAGUGGAGGCAUUAGUUUGCACUCGAGAUUGGCUUUAUGGUGAACAAGAAAAUGCAAAAUUAGCUUUAGAGGAGCUUACCCAAGAUGUUAUGGAGCUUAAAACUGAAGAUAAAGAAACAACUCCUUCAGCUUGUUCUAACUCUAUUGAUAUAGUGUAAUAAGUUUGUAAUAUUUAAAUUUAGAAAUUG
rnacentral:misc_RNA from 1 species